ensembl:misc_RNA
AAAUCAUAAUCCAACUCUAGCAUUAGCCAUGGGUUUAGCAUUCCUCUUGAGGAAAGCAGGGGUUCCUCUUUUGCCCCCCAUUGGC